UAGUUUGAUUCUGGCUCAGAGUGAACGCUGGCGGCGUGCCUAAUACAUGCAAGUCGAACGAUGAAGCUCUAGCUUGCUAGAGUGGAUUAGUGGCGCACGGGUGAGUAAUGCAUAGAUAACAUGCCCUUUAGUCUAGGAUAGCCAUUGGAAACGAUGAUUAAUACUGGAUACUCCUUACGAGGGAAAGUUUUUCGCUAAAGGAUUGGUCUAUGUCCUAUCAGCUUGUUGGUGAGGUAAUGGCUCACCAAGGCUAUGACGGGUAUCCGGCCUGAGAGGGUGAACGGACACACUGGAACUGAGACACGGUCCAGACUCCUACGGGAGGCAGCAGUAGGGAAUAUUGCUCAAUGGGGGAAACCCUGAAGCAGCAACGCCGCGUGGAGGAUGAAGGUUUUCGGAUUGUAAACUCCUUUUGUUAGAGAAGAUAAUGACGGUAUCUAACGAAUAAGCACCGGCUAACUCCGUGCCAGCAGCCGCGGUAAUACGGAGGGUGCAAGCGUUACUCGGAAUCACUGGGCGUAAAGAGCGCGUAGGCGGGAUAGCAAGUCAGAUGUGAAAUCCUAUGGCUUAACCAUAGAACUGCAUUUGAAACUGUUAUUCUAGAGUAUGGGAGAGGUAGGUGGAAUUCUUGGUGUAGGGGUAAAAUCCGUAGAGAUCAAGAGGAAUACUCAUUGCGAAGGCGACCUGCUAGAACAUAACUGACGCUGAUGCGCGAAAGCGUGGGGAGCAAACAGGAUUAGAUACCCUGGUAGUCCACGCCCUAAACGAUGAAUGCUAGUUGUUGUGGAGCUUGUCUCUGCAGUAAUGCAGCUAACGCAUUAAGCAUUCCGCCUGGGGAGUACGGUCGCAAGAUUAAAACUCAAAGGAAUAGACGGGGACCCGCACAAGCGGUGGAGCAUGUGGUUUAAUUCGAAGAUACACGAAGAACCUUACCUAGGCUUGACAUUGAUAGAAUCCGCUAGAGAUAGUGGAGUGCUAGCUUGCUAGAACUUGAAAACAGGUGCUGCACGGCUGUCGUCAGCUCGUGUCGUGAGAUGUUGGGUUAAGUCCCGCAACGAGCGCAACCCUCGUCCUUAGUUGCUAACUAUUCGGUAGAGCACUCUAAGGAGACUGCCUUCGCAAGGAGGAGGAAGGUGAGGAUGACGUCAAGUCAUCAUGGCCCUUACGCCUAGGGCUACACACGUGCUACAAUGGGAAGCACAAAGAGAUGCAAUAUUGUGAAAUGGAGCAAAUCUAUAAAACUUCUCUCAGUUCGGAUUGUAGUCUGCAACUCGACUACAUGAAGCUGGAAUCGCUAGUAAUCGUAAAUCAGCUAUGUUACGGUGAAUACGUUCCCGGGUCUUGUACUCACCGCCCGUCACACCAUGGGAGUUGUAUUCGCCUUAAGUCGGAAUGCCAAACUGGCUACCGCCCACGGCGGAUGCAGCGACUGGGGUGAAGUCGUAAAAAGGUAACC
rnacentral:rRNA from 1 species